GAUGAACGCUGGCGGCGUGCCUAAUACAUGCAAGUCGAGCGAACAGACGAGGAGCUUGCUCCUCUGACGUUAGCGGCGGACGGGUGAGUAACACGUGGAUAACCUACCUAUCAGACUGGGAUAACUUCGGGAAACCGGAGCUAAUACCGGAUAAUAUAUUGAACCGCAUGGUUCAAUAGUGAAAGACGGUUUUGCUGUCACUUCUCGAUGGAUCCGCGCCGCAUUAGCUAGUUGGUAAGGUAACGGCUUACCAAGGCAACGAUGCGUAGCCGACCUGAGAGGGUGAUCGGCCACACUGGAACUGAGACACGGUCCAGACUCCUACGGGAGGCAGCAGUAGGGAAUCUUCCGCAAUGGGCGAAAGCAUGACGGAGCAACGCCGCGUGAGUGAUGAAGGUCUUCGGAUCGUAAAACUCUGUUAUUAGGGAAGAACAAAUGUGGAAGUAACUAAGCACGUCUUGACGGUACCUAAUCAGAAAGCCACGGCUAACUACGUG
rnacentral:rRNA from 1 species